UCAAUUUCUCCCCCAAAUCAACCGAGAACCCUAGCUAAACCCCAGCCUCCGGCGGGCGAGCGCGCCGGCGGGGUCGAUACCGCCGGUCAAUCUGGGCGGCGGAGCGGCGCCGCGCUCUUCCUCGGCACCAACGCCGCCUGCGACGUCGAGGGCGGCCACCGGGCCAUCGUCUUCGACCGCCUCGAGGGGGUCGAGGGCAAGGUAACCAAUCGCCGCUCAAUCUCGCUCCUCGGAGGCGGGCGACGGCCCCGAUUUGUCCGAUUCCGGCCUUGAUGUUCGGUCGCCCUUGGGCAUGGCGCUGUGCUUGUAAGGUGGGUGGAAUCUGGUACUGGGAUAGGUGGGUGGAAUCUGGUACUUGUAAGGUGUUUGCCACUAUCAUUUCUGAGUGUCCAGUUGCAGUAACAACAGCUAUUAUGGCAUACAUGGUAUCCAUAGAGUCAAUUUUCGUCGACUCAUUUGGAUUUUGAUGAAACCCAUGUCUGUUGAUAUAUGAAUUCCUACUGCAUUGUAAUCUUUAUAUGCACUGUCUAGUGUCUACUGCUCUGUGAAUAUGCAUUUUAGCUCAUUUGCUUUUAAUCUAUCUGCAGUGGUCACCAUUAUAUAUUGCCUGUGAAUAAUCAUUUCAACUCAUUUUUUCUUAAAGCGAUCAACAGUAGUCACAAUUUUUCUCCCUUCAUGAUCAUAUAUUUAGACCAUCUACGACAAAUAGCUGAUGCUGAACAAGUUAUUUAAUGCUGACUAUGUGAAUUUGUUUGUUGUGAUUCGCUUCUUUUCAUUUCUGAAGUAGCAUUUACACUCAGCUCUAAGCAUAUACUUCCACUGUCCGAAAUAAGUGUUGCUGAUUUAGUACUAAAUUUGGACUAAUUAGUACUAAAUCAGCGACACUUAUUUUGGGACUGAUGGAGUAUUUGACACCACUUAAUAAUUUGGGCAGGUGAGAAUUGGUCUUCGUGUUCUUACAUGACCCAUGCCAGAGAGACUAUCAACUAUGUACAGGACCCUCUGGGGGAGAGCUACAAUGAGAGAGUGUUGCCUUCAAUCAUUCAUGAAACACUCAAAGCUGUGUUUUCCCGAUACAAUGCCAGUCAGCUAAUCACAUAGAGAGACGUACAGGAAGAUUCUUGCUUGGAAUAUAGCUUCAACAUGUUUAGUGCUGUGAGCAGGAAGAUCAGGAAGCUUUUGACAAAGGCGAAGGAUUUCAAUAUUACUGUGGAUGAUUGUCCAUUACUAGUCUCAGCUUUGGUACAGAGUUCACUCAUCCCAUUGAAGCCAAACAGGUUGUACGCAGGAAGCUGAGCGUGCCAAGUUCAUUGUUGAGAAGGCUGAGCAAGACAAGAAAAGAUUAAUUAUCAGGGCACAAAGGGAGGCAAAGAGUUCAGAGCUCAUUGGUCAGGCCAUCGUGGACACAUCUGAGCAUAUUCCGUGGAAUCUGGUACAUGAAAAGGGUUUUGGCAUUGUCAUUUCGGAGCACAUUCUGUAACUGUAGCCUGCACAAGAGGGUUGGACCUUUCUGAAGUGUAUACCAGUUUGGAUAGGCGAGAAUCGGUCUUCGUGUUCUUACACAACCCAUGCCAGAGAGACUACGAACUAUGUACAUGACCUUGGGGGAGAACCAAUGUUUUCGAGUCGACUGUCGUUCUGGGUAGUGACUCUUGACUAGUUGUUACUAGUCUAGACUUAUGGUCGACUAGUCGACAUGAGUUAAGCAAUAGGUACAGGGGAGCAGCAGCAGCAAGCCAGCAACCAGGGGAGGAGCAGCAACCAGCUUGCGGCAGCGCUGGCCGGCAGGAUUGUGGGGCUGCGGCCAAGGGGCAGGAUAGGUUUGGGCUGGGAGGGGGGGGGGGGGGCUAGUCAAGCAAAUAGAAAAAAAAAUGACAGGCAGGGCCAGCUUUUAGUCGUUCGACUCAAAAACUUGGACUUGUCGAGACUAGUCGCUCGACUCAGCCAACGAUUCAAGUCGACAUGUUGAGUCGACUUUCAGUUACGACUCAUCGACUAGUCGCGGGGAGAACUAAUGAGAGUGUUGCCUUCAAUCAUUCAUGAAACACUCAAAUCUGUGGUUCCCCAAUAUAAUUCCAGCCAGCUAAUCACAUAGAGAGGCUGUCAGCACGGAGAUCGGGAAGAUUCUGACAGAGAGGGCUGGGAUCUCCAGAUGGUGGUGCACUGUAAGGUCCUAAAACUGAGGACUUCAUUUAAGAAGUCAGAGCUAAAUGCCAAGAUAAUGUCCUUCAGGGAUUAUCCGUUGUCAUCAACAAUAUUGGACACACUCAAAGCUGCUCCACACCACAGAUGUUGGUCAUCAAACGGCACACAGGAUCCUUCAUGCAUCAGAUCCUUUACACUCGUUGUAGGAAAUUAAAAUAUCUGCGGUAUAGUUUCUUCGCUAUCAUGAAUGAGGGCCGGUGCUAUAUAUGGACCCCCUUUAAACUUUCAGCUAUGCAUAUAAGAGUGAUGACAAUUAAAUAAUGUGAGUCUCUAAAUGUUUUGUUCUCAAGGAAGUUCAUUUGAACUACUUCCACUGUUCCAGAUGCAGGUUAUUAACAACAAAGUUUUGAUUGUAUAGCUUGACAAUUCAAUCAAAAAGAUGAAAUCAUAGCUAAGCCGUGAAUGGUGCAGCCUGGCCAGGGACGAAGCUAGGAUAAAAGUUUAAUGGGGUCAUGUACAUGGCACUGGGGUCAUCCUUUUAUAAAUGUUAAUGAUUAGUACUAAAUUAGUGAAUGAUUUUCAGAUUUCAUUGGGGUCAAUUGACCCCAGUGCCUAUAAGGCAGCUCAGGCUCAAGUCAUUAAUGGCUUUGCACAGUGCUUUGAUUAAUAUAUUGGGGAUCUUGAUCUCUAUUUGUAUGUUCUCCCAUACUUCCUGAAUGAUGGUGUUUUUGAUUAUUUCCUCGUUUCCUCACCUUGAUGAGCUGACCAUGAAUAUGCCAUUUAUGGUAUGCCCAUUGUGGAUUUUAAUCAGUGUAUCCUGGUCACAUGAUCCACCUUGUUACUCAACUCAUAUGUUCUAGUGGAUUUUGCUGGUUUAGUUUGCUGCUAAACAAAUUUGUAAUGCUAUCAUUUUAAGAAUCCAGUAAAUGUAAGUUGUGAUAAUCCUCUUAUGCUGUUUUUCUUUUUCUUUUGCACAGCCUAAUUUAUGUUCUUCAUCCUAGUGGAUCCAACUUUGUUGACACACUCAUCGAUGCAUCAGCCUUCUGCAUGAAAAUCAUGGUUGUGAUCAGCCAUCUAUGUUUGUAUCACCUGGAAUCCUGCUAUUAUUCAGUACUUAACUUUGCCGCAUACUUGUUUUCUUGCCGAUGGCUGAUCUAAUUGCAAAUAUUGAUACAUUGGUGAACUUAUGCGACAAUAUUUCAAUAAUAAAUACAUCGCUGUUGGUGAUUGUACAUUC